AUUGAACGCUGGCGGCAGGCCUAACACAUGCAAGUCGAGCGAGCGGCGGACGGGUGAGUAAUGUAUGGGGACUGCCCGAUAGAGGGGGAUAACUACUGGAAACGGUGGCUAAUACCGCAUACUAUCGGAUGACCCAUAUGGGAUUGGCUCGUAGGUGGGGUAAAGGGUCACCUAGGUGACGAUCUCUAGGUGGUCUGAGAGGAUGAUCAGCCACACUGGGACUGAGACACGGCCCAGACUCCUACGGAGGCAGCAGUGGGGAAUAUUGCACAAUGGGAGCAAGCCUGAUGCAGCCAUACCGCGUGUAUGAUGAAGGCCUUAGGGUUGUAAAGUACUUUCAGCGGGGAGGCGUUACUCGCAGAAGAAGCACCGGCUAACUCCGUGCCAGCAGCCGCGGUAAUUC
rnacentral:rRNA from 1 species